CCUACGGGAGGCAGCAGUGAGGAAUAUUGGUCAAUGGGCGCGAGCCUGAACCAGCCAAGCAGCGUGAAGGAUGACUGUCCUACGGGUUGUAACCUUCUUUUAUAAAGGAAUAAAGUGAGUCUCGUGUGCCUUUUUGUAUGUACUUUAUGAAUAAGGAUCGGCUAACCCCGUUCCAGCAGCCGCGGUAAUACGGAGGAUCCGAGCGUUGUCCUGAUUUAUGGGGUUUAAAGGGAGCGUAGAGGGGUUGUUAAGUCAGUUGUGAAAGCUUGCGGCUCAACCGUAAAAUUGCAAUUGAUACUGGCAGACUUGAGUACAGUAGAGGUAGGCGGAAUUCGAGGUGUAGCGGUGAAAUGCUUAGAUA
rnacentral:rRNA from 1 species